GAUGAAGAACGCAGCGAAAUGCGAUACGUAAUGUGAAUUGCAAAUUCAGUGAAUCAUCGAGUCUUUGAACGCACAUUGCGCCCCCUGGUAUUCCGGGGGGCAUGCCUGUCCGAGCGUCAUUGCUGCCCUCAAGCACGGCUUGUGUGUUGGGCCCCGUCCUCCGAUCCCGGGGGACGGGCCCGAAAGGCAGCGGCGGCACCGCGUCCGGUCCUCGAGCGUAUGGGGCUUUGUCACCCGCUCUGUAGGCCCGGCCGGCGCUUGCCGAUCAACCCAAAUUUUUAUCCAGGUUGACCUCGGAUCAGGCAGGGAUACCCGCUGAACUUAAGCAUAUCAAUAAGCGGAGGA
rnacentral:misc_RNA from 1 species